GCGACUGUCACGCGAGGCAUGGCCAUCUUCGGUGGCGGUGGCCACGUGAGGCACAACUAUCUCCGGUGGCAGCGGCGGUCGUGCGAGGCGUGACUGUAUCUGGUGGCGAUGGCCACGUGAGGUGUGGGUGGCUCCGGUAGCAGCGGCGACCGCACAAGGCGCGAGUUGCAAGGUUCGGCAGUUUGCAUGGUGGUGAGGAUUGGCUACGGGCGGCGGUGACCACGCGUGGUGCAGCCAGCUUUGCGGUCGUGCGACCUCUAGCGAUGACCUCUACCGAUCCAGCGUGUCUCAGGCAUCCUCCGACGACGACCUCCUAUGAUCCGUGGCUUCGGGGGUGUCCUCUGGCAACGACCUCCUCCGAUUCGGUGGCCUCGAUGGCGUCCUCCGGUGACGUCUCGUCUAAUCCUUGUUUUAUGCACGUGGUGUUUUUGGUUGGAUGAUAUCAUGACUUUUUCAUCAAUUAUGAUGAGCGGUGUAGAUAUGUAUACAACUUUCUAUAAGUAUUUAUGCUUUUGCG
rnacentral:lncRNA from 7 species